rnacentral:rRNA from 1 species
CCUACGGGUGGCAGCAGUGAGGAAUAUUGGGCAAUGGGCGCAAGCCUGACCCAGCAAAGCCGCGUGAAGGAAGAAGGCCUUCGGGUUGUAAACUUCCUUUUAGAGGGAAGAGCAGAAGACGGUACCUCUUGAAUAAGCCACGGCUAACUACUUGCCAGCAGCCGCGGUAAUACGUAGGUGGCAAGCGUUGUCCGGAUUUAGUGGGUGUAAAGGGCGUGCAGCCGGGAAGACAAGUCAGAUGUGAAAUCUAGCGGCUCAACCGCGGAACUGCAUUUGAAACUGUUUUUCUUGAGUACCGGAGAGGUCGUCGGAAUUCCUUGUGUAGCGGUGAAAUGCGUAGAUAUAACGAAGAACACCAGUGGCGAAGGCGGAUGACUGGACGGCAACUGACGGUGAGGCGCGAAAGCGUGGGGAGCAAACAGGAUUAGAUACCCGUGUAGUC